rnacentral:rRNA from 1 species
UACGGGGGGAGCAAGCGUUGUUCGGAUUUACUGGGCGUAAAGGGCGUGUAGGCGGUUUCGUAAGUCUGGCGUGAAAUUUCUCGGCUUAACCGAGGCAGGUCGUCGGAUACUGCGGAACUUGAGGACGGUAGAGGCGUGUGGAAUUCCGGGUGUAGUGGUGAAAUGCGUAGAGAUCCGGAGGAACACCAGUGGCGAAGGCGACACGCUGGGCCGUACCUGACACUGAUGCGCGACAGCAUGGGGAGCAAACAGG